CGCCAUCUUGAGAAGGGCGGAGCCGUCUAGUCUUGAGUGACAUCUGCUCAGAGAGGACGUCCCAGAGUCGCAGCGUUUUUGCUUGUUGCGCAUGCGCACUUGCCCUCGGGGCGGGCCUUUGUGCCAGUGCCUGGGGGCGUCCGCUCUUCGCAGAGCGGGUCGCGGGGUCAGGAACUGGGUGGGGCUUGGCUUUAGUAUUUGCCCUGGAGACCUAAUAUUUGCGCAGGUUUCGUGAAGGGACAGUCUCCUACGAGGAUAUUUGUAGCAGUGUUUUUUAAACUGGAAGAAAGUCAAGAAGAGGUAGGAGAUAAAUGCAGUAAGGAUGCUGUUACUCUUAAUGGAAUUGAAAUCUAACAAGUGUUCUCAGGCAACCUCUGGAGGAAUCCAGCACACACGGAAUAUCUCCAGCCACCCCACAGCACAUCCCCAGAGCU